AACCUGGCAUGAGCAUGAAACUGGAAAUUAACAAGGAAUGAUGCAGAUGAACACCUGCAGCAAGAACCACUCUACACCUGUCCACAGGAUGUCUGAAAAAUGAGGCUGUGUUCCCACAAAUCUGUAUUAGAUGGAACUGAAUUAACAACAGUGCUCCAGAACCCUGGACCAUCCAGCCUAAAUUCCAUUUGGGGAUGAGAUGCGUUUUUGCCUCAGAAUCCCAAGCGGUAAGCACCAUGAACCCCUCAGUUCAUAUCUCAAUCUUCCUUUCUAUUGGAUUUUGUUCUCAAUUUCUAACUUCUUACUAGAUUAUAUCUCAUUUAAUUCUACUUGUUAAAGCUGAUUUAUUCUAAAAUUUGAUGAAGCAAAAGUCUGGAUUUUGCCUCAAUAUAAUAAGAACCACUUAAUUAUAAACAUUGAUGCAGGGCUUUGCUAACCUGCAUU
ensembl:lncRNA novel transcript